UACGUAGGUCCCGAGCGUUGUCCGGAUUUAUUGGGCGUAAAGCGAGCGCAGGUGGUUUAUUAAGUCUGGUGUAAAAGGCAGUGGCUCAACCAUUUAUGCAUUGGAAACUGGUAGACUUGAGUGCAGGAGAGGAGAGUGGAAUUCCAUGUGUAGCGGUGAAAUGCGUAGAUAUAUGGAGGAACACCGGUGGCGAAAGCGGCUCUCUGGCCUGUAACUGACACUGAGGCUCGAAAGCGUGGGGAGCAAACAGG
rnacentral:rRNA from 1 species